AACGAACGCUGGCGGCGCGCCUAAUACAUGCAAGUCGAGCGAGAAGGUGUAGCAAUACACUUGUAAAGCGGCGAACGGGUGAGGAAUGCAUGGGUAACCUACCCUCGAGUGGGGAAUAACUAGCCGAAAGGUUAGCUAAUACCGCAUACGUUUCCGGAACUUCGGUUUCGGAAAGAAAGCAAUACCGUGGGUAUUGCGCUCCUGGAUGGGCUCAUGUCCUAUCAGCUUGUUGGUGAGGUAACGGCUCACCAAGGCUUCGACGGGUAGCUGGUCUGAGAGGACGAUCAGCCACACUGGCACUGCGACACGGGCCAGACUCCUACGGGAGGCAGCAGUAAGGAAUAUUGCGCAAUGGACGAAAGUCUGACGCAGCGACGCCGCGUGGGGGAUGAAGGUCUUCGGAUUGUAAACCCCUUUCGGGAGGGAGAUGGAGUGGGUAACCACUUGGACGGUACCUCCAGAAGCAGCCACGGCUAACUUCGUGCCAGCAGCCGCAGUAAU
rnacentral:rRNA from 1 species